GCUCGUUGUGCGCAAUGGGUAGCGCGUUGGACUUCUCAUACAAAUGCUGUGGGUUCGAAUUCCACCUGGAAUG